ACUUGGAUUGCAUUCAGCUACCAGAGGGAGGGGGUCAUAUAAGAACCAAGGGAGAGAUUAGAUUAGCGGGUCAGCCCCUCCACACAAAGCUUCCUGGCCUCCUUCUGGCUCCGUGGCUCCCACGCUAGCUCCUGGUGUGCCUACACUUUGUUCCUCAGAAGCCAGGGAGAGGAAUUAAUGCUGGUUUAACCAGAGUUUGCUACCAUGUGCAUUCUCCCUGGGAUUUACUCUGAUGGCUGAAGGAGAUAUAGUUGCGCAGAACAAAAGCUCUGGCUCUUCCAAGCCCCAUGGAGUCCCAACUCUGCAGAAUGAAGGUCUCUUCCAUGUAGAAGGUUACUGGAAUCUCCUACAGCAUCUGACUUCUUCCUAAAUCCAGGGUCCAGACCAGGCACAGAGAAUGUUCUGGUUGCACUGAAGGACAAUCUUCUGGCUUUCAGAAAGGUGGAAAAUAGCACUCUUCAAAAGCGAGACAGAACUGGAAAUGAAAUGAAGACAUGGAAUUUAAGAGACGCUUUUGUACAGCAGCCCAAAAGUAAGUUGCCGCCCAUGGCUAAAGGGCCCCACCAGAGCAGCCUGGUUUUAAGAGAUGGAAGCUUGAAUCUGAAGACCUGGCUAUCCCGCCUCCUGUUUGGACCACCCACAGAGGCACUUAGACCCAGUUGCCUUGUUUCCUGCUGGGACCACCCACAUAGGUCCCUUUAAAUAAUAAGGUAAUUAUGCUAUGAAUGAAAAUUCCAGCAGAACUGCUAUGGUAUUAUUAUUUCUCAAUAAAAGGACCCAUCUGUGCUGAACCA
rnacentral:lncRNA from 1 species